rnacentral:tRNA from 1 species
GCAUUGGUGGUUUAGUGGUAGAAUUUUCACCUUCUAUACAAGCGAUCCGGGUUCAAUUCCCGGCCAGUGCA